rnacentral:rRNA from 1 species
UACGUAGGGUGCGAGCGUUGCCCGGAUUUAUUGGGCGUAAAGGGCGCGUAGGCGGCCACGCACGUCCGUUGUGAAAUCGCCCGGCUCAACUGGGCGGGGUCAGCGGAUACGGUGUGGCUAGAGCAAGCUAGGGGGCAAUGGAAUUCCCGGCGUAGUGGUGGAAUGCGUAGAUAUCGGGAGGAACACCAGUGGCGAAGGCGGUUGCCUGGAGCUUUGCUGACGCUGAUGCGCGAAAGCGUGGGGAGCGAUCCGG